rnacentral:rRNA from 1 species
UACAGAGGUCCCGAGCGUUGUUCGGAUUCAUUGGGCGUAAAGGGUGCGUAGGCGGCGAGCUAAGUUUGGUGUGAAAUCCUGGGGCUUAACCUCAGAAUUGCACUGAAUACUGGUUUGCUAGAGGACUGGAGAGGAGAGUGGAAUUCCUGGUGUAGCGGUGAAAUGCGCAGAUAUCAGGAAGAACACCCGUGGCGAAGGCGGCUCUCUGGAACGCAACUGACGCUGAGACGCGAAAGCGUGGGGAGCAAACAGG